rnacentral:SRP_RNA from 1 species
GCCGGGCGUGGUGGCACUUGCCUGUAGUCCCAGCUAAAGGAGGCUGAAGUGGGAGGAUCGCUAGAGCCCAGGAGUUCUGGUCUGUAGUGCACUAUGCCGAUCGGAUGUUUCAACUAAGAUUAGCAUCAAUAUGGUGACCUCCUGGAAGCAGGGUACCACGAGGUUGCCUAAGGAGGGGUGAACUGGCCCAGGUCAGAAACAGAGCAGGUCACAUUUCUGGUGCUAAUCACUAGUGGGAUCGGGCCUGUGAAUAGCCACUGCACUCCAGCCUGGGCAACGUAACAAGACCUCAUCUCU